rnacentral:misc_RNA from 1 species
GAUGAAGAACGCAGCGAAGUGCGAUAAGUAGUGUGAAUUGCAGAAUUUCGUGAAUCAUCGAAUCUUUGAACGCAAAUUGCACUCUCCGGUUUUCCGGGAGAGUAUGCCUGUUUGAGGGUCAGCCUAAAUAAAUUCGGCUUCGUUGCUGUGUUUAGUGGCAACGUUUUAGUCGGAAUUUGGGUCAUCUUAAACCGAAAGGUCUUUAAGCGACUUAAAAAUUUUUUUUUACGAUCCCACGAACGUUUCUAAGAUCUUCUUACACGUUCAAGGUGUCGAAUAACCCUAUUAGUCGUGACCGUCGUAUCGGAUCGCGUCCAUAAUAUUUAUUCUUUAACUGACCUCAGACAGGUAAGAGUACCCGCUGAACUUAAGCAUAUCAAUAAGCGGAGGA